rnacentral:lncRNA from 1 species
GUCAAUAUGGCUACUGGGUGUAAAAGAUAAAUCUUAUUCUAUCUGUUCUUAAUGAGUUUUAGAUAAUUUUAGUUGUAUUUCUUUGUAAUUUUGUGUUGUACAAAGAUUAAUUUAACAUUUUCUCUGGAAGUAUUAAUUUAGAAAGAUAAUAUGCUUCAUUGGUGUUGUGUUGUGUUUUGAAGUGUGAAAUGCAAAGUAAUUGUGAUAAAGUCAAGAUAAAGUUCACUUUUAAACUGAACUAAAUAAGGUAUCUGAGAGACAACAAUGGUUAAAUGCAAUACAAUGUACAGGUUUUACUAGCGAAAUGAAAAUUUUCCUGUCCUGUCUGCUGUAAUCAUUUUAUAUCUGGAAAACCAGCCGACUUAAUAGAUAAUAACAAUCUCCAGAUUGGGUUCCUUCAAUAAAUAUGGUCUAUAAACACAAUGAAAUAAGUUCCCCAAAA